rnacentral:rRNA from 1 species
UACGUAGGGAGCAAGCGUUGUCCGGAAUCAUUGGGCGUAAAGCGCGCGUAGGUGGCUUCGUAAGUCCGUUGUGAAAGUCAAAGGCUCAACCUUUGAAAGCCGAUGGAUACUGUGGAGCUAGAGUACGGAAGAGGCGAGUGGAAUUCCUGGUGUAGCGGUGGAAUGCGCAGAUAUCAGGAGGAACACCGAUGGCGAAGGCAGGUCUCUGGGCCACUACUGACGCUGAGAAGCGAAAGCAUGGGGAGCGAACAGG